CUGCGCUCUCUCCUUAAUCCCUAUGUAUAUUUAAACAAAUGGCAGGCGGGCAUUCCCUCCAUUUGACCUCCAUUUGUCUAAAUAUACAUAGGGAUUAAGGAGAGAGCACAGGU